rnacentral:misc_RNA from 1 species
GAUGAAGAACGUAGCGAAAUGCGAUAAGUAAUGUGAAUUGCAGAAUUCAGUGAAUCAUCGAAUCUUUGAACGCAUCUUGCGCUCCUUGGUAUUCUGAGGAGCAUGCCUGUUUGAGUGUCAUUAAAUUCUCAACUACACUGACUUUGAAUUGGUGUGGCUUGGAUUUGGGGGGAAAAUUGUUGUGGGCUUUUUGUAUAGUCUGCUCCCCUGAAAUUGAUUAGCGGUACCUUUGUGGAACUGUCUACAGGUGUGAUAAUUAUCUACAUCUUAGACAUCUGCUGAAAUGCUGCUCUCUAAACCUUACUUGUAUUGACAAUCUUGACCUCAAAUCAGGUAGGACUACCCGCUGAACUUAAGCAUAUCAAUAAGCGGAGGA